rnacentral:tRNA from 1 species
UGGAGGAUAGCUCAGUGGUAGAGCACUUGCCUAGCAGGAGUGAGAGGCUAGGUUUGAUUCCCAGCAACCAA